rnacentral:rRNA from 1 species
UACGGAGGGGGCCAGCGUUGUUCGGAAUCAUUGGGCGUAAAGAGCUCGUAGGCGGUUUGUUGCGUCGGCUGUGAAAUCCCGAGGCUCAACCUCGGGUCUGCAGUCGAUACGAGCAAACUAGAGUGUUGCAGGGGAGACUGGAAUUCCUGGUGUAGCGGUGAAAUGCGCAGAUAUCAGGAGGAACACCGGUGGCGAAGGCGGGUCUCUGGGCAACAACUGACGCUGAGGAGCGAAAGCGUGGGGAGCGAACAGG